rnacentral:rRNA from 1 species
GUACACUCCUGCGGGAGGCAGCAGUGGGGAAUUUUGGACAAUGGGCGAAAGCCUGAUCCAGCCAUGCCGCGUGCAGGAUGAAGGCCUUCGGGUUGUAAACUGCUUUUGUACGGAACGAAACGGCCUUUUCUAAUAAAGAGGGCUAAUGACGGUACCGUAAGAAUAAGCACCGGCUAACUACGUGCCAGCAGCCGCGGUAAUACGUAGGGUGCAAGCGUUAAUCGGAAUUACUGGGCGUAAAGCGUGCGCAGGCGGUUAUGUAAGACAGUUGUGAAAUCCCCGGGCUCAACCUGGGAACUGCAUCUGUGACUGCAUAGCUAGAGUACGGUAGAGGGGGAUGGAAUUCCGCGUGUAGCAGUGAAAUGCGUAGAUAUGCGGAGGAACACCGAUGGCGAAGGCAAUCCCCUGGACCUGUACUGACGCUCAUGCACGAAAGCGUGGGGAGCAAACAGGAUUAGAAACCCUUGUAGUCCCAUGAU